rnacentral:rRNA from 1 species
AAUCUUCCGCAAUGGGCGAAAGCCUGACGGAGNAAUACCNCGUGAGGGACGAAGGUCUGUGGAUUGUAAACCUCUUUUGUUAGGGAAGAUAAUGANGGUACCUAACGAAUAAGCAUNGGCUAACUNCGUGCCAGCAGCCGNGGUAAGACGGAGGAUGCAAGCGUUAUCCGGAAUUAUUGGGCGUAAAGCGUACGUAGGCUGUUAGAUAAGUCUGUUGUCAAAGCGCGAGGCUCAACCUUGUAAAGGNAAUGGAAACUGUUUGACUAGAGAGAGAUAGGGGCAGGAGGAAUUCCAGGUGUAGCGGUGAAAUGCGUAGAUAUCUGGAAGAACACCAGUGGCGAAAGCGUCCUGCUGGAUCUCAACUGACGCUGAAGUACGAAAGCUAGGGGAGCGAAUGGGAUUAGAUACCCNCAGUAGUU